rnacentral:lncRNA from 1 species
AGAGGCGGGGGCGCCGCUUCGGGAGAGCGGGCAGUUCUAGGAGGCCGACCUGGAGAGCCUCCCGGUUCCCCUUCCCCUUUUCCCGGACCCCGCGGGGACACCCCCUCGCCGCCACCCGGGCCUCCCCGAGGGCCCAACUGCGGGUCAGGCGGCCCGGGCCAGCCGAAAGGGAAGUGGGGCUACCCCACAGCCAGGCAGCGGGGCUGGGGUCAGACCCGGGAGCCGGAGGUUGGAGACGUGCGACAGUCACCUGCGGGCAGAUUCCAGAGGGGAGACCCAGGGCUGCAGGGGACGCCCCUUCGUGGCAGCUACCCAGCCUCGGCCCACUGCCAGGUUCUUUGCCAACCCUGACGCGAGUGUGGAGCCCCCCUCCCCUCCCCUAUGAAAACGCUUUCAUGCACUGGGGUCUGCAAACCUGGUUGGUCCGGUGUGGGUUGGGCCAGGUGCUCUCGGCCGGGCUGGAGAGCUCGAGGUGGAACGAUGGCCCCAACCUACGGCCCGCGUCCGCCAGAGGGCGCCCUGGGGUCUCCUAGGGGAGGGCAGUUUGGUGCUGCGCGGCCCAGGCCUUGGAAUAGGCACGCCAGGGAUCUGCGGGAAUGGCUGUCUCCGGAGCUGGAAAGGUGGCCGAGAAGGGGGCAUUCACACCCCAGGCUGGGGUCAGACCUGGGAAUAAAAUUCUAGCAGGAGAGAAUUUCCGGAAAGCAGUUUUCCGGGGUUCAGGCUACUGCCAGAUGGCCCACACCCCCUGGAAUGUGACCCCCUGCCUCUCUUGGGGUGGGGGAGGACUUGAUCACUGGCGGGGAGGGGGUAGAGGGGAGGAGAGGAAGUGAUUGAGGUGAAAGAUUGGUUUGCUGCUGGUCACGUUGGCACUGACGUAGAUAGUUUGGGCUUGGAGACCCGGGGCCAGCCUUAUGAAGGAUGGCAAGUUUUGUCAUCUUGUCCCCAAAUGGGCUGUGUGGUGCUGGGGACACCCGAGAGCUGCCUCAGUGGCAUUUAGAUUUUCACCUCUCGGGAUGCAGACGCUGUGGGCCUGGGGCCCUGCGCUCUUCCUAGAUACCAGGAUAAUGAGGUGCUGAAAGGGAAGGAAGAGACUGCCGCCAGGGACAGGGAGCUUGGGAUGCCAGAACCCAGAACUGGCCCUUUUGCCGGCCCUGGAAUUGAUAGGCGGAGGCGAGAGGAUCACUUGAGCAUGGACAUUCAAGACCAGCCUGGGCAGCAAAUGUUACGUGGCUGCAUGACCAUACACUUCUGGGUAGAGCCCAGUGGAAGACAAAGAAGACUCAAGGAAUAGCCCUUGAGGGCUCAGGAGCUAUACAGAUGGGAUAGAGGGUGUGAGUGCUGGGAAGCCCCAUCCAUGGCUCGCUGGAGAUUAGAGGCCUGUUAAUCUGAAGACAAAGGAAUGAAGACGAAAACGUUUCUGAAAAUGUGGGUGGAGACACCUGGGCCUUUACAGGGUACGCUCCAGAGCUGCUUCCAGGCAGGGACCCCGGCUGAGAGAAGCCAGAGCCAGAGAGUCGCAGGCUUGCUUGCUCUUAUCUUCCCUCUGCUGGGGGGGUCGAGGGGAGAUCUGGCCCCUCUGCUCUGCCCUCCUGAUUUCCCGUCUAAGGGAUUUAGGAGACUUUUGCCUUUUCCUAAUCUCUCCCUUUGCAGAAUUUCUGCGAAGUCACAAUCCCAUUUCCAGGCAAAGGUGCUUGGUCAUAAAGAUAAUAAAGAUAUUCAUUCAUGAUGGAGGGGAAGUACACAGUGGUUUCAGCUGCCUGUAGGGCUCCACUUACUCAUGGUGUGUGACAGAUGCUGAGCCCUUCCCCAAAUCUCAUGGAUGGGAAGGAAACCUGGCGCCGCGGGGUGGUCGCGGGAAGCCGUGGCAUGGCUUGGUGAACACAGGCUCGCCGACCCGGGGGCGGAUGCUGAGGUUGCCAUUGUUGGUGGCUGCAUCUGCAGUAGACGGGUCGGGAUGCCGGCCUCAGACCACAGCGUUGCUAAAUGCCAAACCCAAGGCCUCCCCGUCUUUAACACUGCUGGGCAUUCUACAGCGCAAGGAGGCAGCUGGGGCUGGACUGCCCAGUGCCUGCCGUUGACUGUGCGUCUUCUGCCUGUGAGCUAGCCUGCCACACCUGGGGAUACACGGUGGGGAAAUCAAUCAGCUUCCCUCCCUUCUAGAGCUUCAGGUCCGGCGUUGGUGUCUAGAGGCAAGGGGAGGAGGCAGGGAGGCCUCUUCUUUUCUGUCCCCCUUUCUCUUGGCCAAUUUGGAGGAGAUGGUGGGGGACCUGUCUCUCAUCUGACCUCCUGGAAGCCCUGCCUGCUGCUCCAGUGUGGCUCUCCCAGGGCUGAGGCCUGGAACCUAGGGCUGGGCUACCUGGGGUGCUCAGCUCUGCCGCACCCCAGCCCUCCUCGGCUGCAGCCCUGGCUUCUUUUCUUACCCACUGGGAUGGCCCGUGGGACUAACCUUGCAGCCUGCAGGACUAUGGCCCAGAUGACCUUUCCGGAGCAGGGGAAGAGUUCACAGGUCUCAGACCAGGUUGACCCCGAGCCCUCUCUUUCCUGCUUCGCAUAGGGGCGGGCCAAGGGAGGCAGGGACAAUGGCAUUCCUGUUUGCAGGCCUUUGUUCCCGCCAGGAGGGCCCCCGGAGCUAAUAAAAAGGUUUGUGGCUCCGAUGUCUAAGAGGCAGUGGAGGAGUUCUUUCAAGCCUGACAUUCCAGGCCCAGCCGGCCUCUGGCAUUUCCCAGAAAAACUUCGAGGAGGGGAGGGGAAAGAAAACACUUGAGGGACCCACCCACCUACCCACUGCCCGCCUUCUCGGAUUCCUCGUUCCCUCUGGGGAUUGGGCUGGGCCGGAGUGCCAGGACCCCUGCCCUGGGGGGCCCAUUCCUCCACCCACAGAGGGGCCCUGGGAAGUGUUGAGAGGGUGAGAGUGGGUAAGUGGGGGGUGACUCUAGGAGGGUGCAGAGAGGAUGAAAUGUUGGGGGCGCAGUGAGAAGAGGAGGAAAGUUUCUUCCCACUUUGUCAAAAAGGAAUCCACAUCUGCUACAAGUUUGGAGUUGGAGGGUGGGGAGUGAGGAGUUAGCUCCUAGCCAAUAUCUCCUCUGACCCCAAACCGACAAAUGCUGCUCUGUCCGAGGCUGGGGUGGGAAGAGUUUUUAUUUGCCCUGAAGCAGCUGCGGGAACAGACAUCAGGGCAGCAGGGCAGUUCUGGGAAGUGAGGCUGUGGUGAACCAUCUGGGCGGCAAUGCAGACGAGGCAGUGCCCAGGACGGGGAGAGCCCGGGAGGGGGCGAGGAGGCCAUGCUGUCUCUGGGAGACGUGCCUCUUGGGAUGUCCUGGGCCCAGGCGCCCUUGGAGAGGCAGGAGCUGGUGGGGGACCAGCUGAGUGCAGCUGUUCGGCUCGCCCUGCAAUACUGCAGUUGGGCUGGCUGCUGGAGCCAAGUGGUCACGGUCAGGUGCCCUGACUCUCCUGGGGCUCUGGGGCAGGUGCUCCUCAUGACCAUGGUGUGCCUGCAGCCUCUGGUCAAGCUCCUGCAGCCCGGGCGCAGGCUUCCUUCUGAGCCUCUCACCCUCUGGGAAGUCCCUGCCUCCUCCGCAGUGUGAAGCACCCCUGGUAUGCACUGUGCCGUGCACUGAUUCUUGGGCAAGUUCAAAUAGAAAAUGAUAGGCUGGGUGUGGUGGCUCACGCCCGUAAUCCCAGCACUUUGGGAGGCCAAGGCUGGUGGAUCACCUGAGGUCAGGAGUUCCAGACCAGCCUGGCCAACAUGGUGAAACCCUGUCUCUACUAAAAAUACAAAAUUAGCUGGGCGCAGUGGCGCAUGCCUGUAAUCCUAGCCCCUCAGGAGACUGAGGCAGGAGAAUCGCUUCAAACUGGGAGGUGGAGAUUUACAGUGAGCUGAGAUUGUGCCAUUGCGCUCCAGCCUGGGCGACAAGAGCAAAACUCCGUCUCAAAAAAAAGAAAAAUGUAAAAGCAAAAGAAAAAAAGAAAAUAAUACCCUCUCUCUGGCUCCCAAGAUCCUGAACCAACUUUGAAGGCAGAGAAGUGGGCUAGAAGAAGUGGGGUUGGAGCCUCCACCAAGGACAAGAAGGUGAGACUCUAAGGCGUCUAAGGUGAAACUGGGGCAGCUAUCCCCACGUGUUCCUUCCUCCCUCCCCCUUGCCGGCACUGUACUCACUGGGCCUUAGGCUGGUGUUGUUCAGAGUUUCUUAACCUGGAGCAUGUGAACUGCCCCUUCCCAGGUUUCAUACUCCCCCAACAGCCACUCCCCCGAUAAUUGCAAACAAAAUGCUGGUGGAGGGUCAGGCCCCUGGGGGCUGCAGGACCUGCCUGGAGUCACUUCUUGCCCCUGCAACACUUGUUUUUUGUUUGACACAGUAUCAAUCUGUUGCCCAGGCUGGAGUGCAGGGGCGCAAUCUCAGCUCACUGCAACCUUUGCCUCUGGGGUUCAAGCGAUUCUUCUGCCUCAGCCUGCUGAGUAGCUGGGAUUACAGGUGCACACCACCACGCCUGGUUAAUUUUUUGUAUUUUUAGGUAGAGACGGUGUUUGCCAUGUUGCCCAGACUUGUCUCGAACUCCUGAGCUCAGGCAAUCCACUGGCCUCGCUCUCCCAAAAUGCUGGGAUCACAGGCGUGAGCCACUGUGCCCAGCCAUAACACUUAUUUUAUACUACCAUUUAUUCCUUGAGUAGUUAUUUAUUUAUUUAUUUAUUUGAGACAGAGUCUUGCUCUGUCGCCCAGGCUGGAGUGCAGUGGCACAAUCUUGGCUCACUGCAACCUCUGCCUCCCGGUUCAAGUGAUUCUCCUGCCUCAGCCUCCUGAGUAGCUGGGACUACAGGCGUCUGCCACCACGCCCGGCUAAUUUUUGUAUUUUUUAGUAGAGACGGGGUUUCACCAUAUUGGCUAGCCUCCUGACCUUCUGAUCCAUCCACCUCAGCCUCCCAAAGUGCUGGGAUUACAGGCAUGAGCCACUACACCUGGCCUUGAGUAGAUAUUUAUUGAGCACCUGCUAUGUGUCAGGGAUUGAGUUAGGUGCCAGAAAUUUAUCAGUCUCGGAUCUCAUGGAGCUUAGAUGUUUUUCCAGAAGGACAAGAUUCUUCCAGAAUUAUAUCGGGAUUGAUUAAUUUUGACUGUGCUGCAUACUAUGAAGAAGUCCCAGGAGCUAUGUGAGCCUAUUAUGGGGAGACCUAAUCUAUUGGGGGGACAACCAAGGGGGAUUCCCUGAAGAAGUAACACACGUAGGCUGAUGGGAAGCUGAGGUCUAGAGAGGUCCCUGCCUGGUGCGAGGUCUCCCAGUCAGAUCGUGGCAGAGCUCCAGCUGGUGCCCAGGUUGGUUGACUAGACUCCCAGGCUUUCCCCACACACAGGCUCGUCUGGCCUCCCUCCAGGCCACUCGGUGGCAUACACAGGGGAGGGGAGGAUGGAGAGCUGGCAGAGGCAGGGAGGGCCUGCUGGUGGGACAGGCAUUCUCCUGGUGCCACAUGCCCGGGCCUCUGCUGCCCACUGUCUUUUCCCAUUCACUUCUACUUCACUCUCCCUCUCACUCCCCAAAGGCCUUAGCCCCCUGCUUCCAGCUCAAGCUGAAGUGGCUGUGAGCUGAGCUAAGAAGACCCCACUUCGCCAGGAGGAGUGCCUCACGCCUGUAAUCCCAGCACUUUGAAAGGCCGAGGCAGGUGGAUCACGUGAGGUCAGGAGUUUAAGACCAGCCUGGCCAACAUGGUGAGACCCCUUCUCUACUAAAAAUACAAAAAUUAGCCGGGAGUGGUGGCGCGCACCUGUAGUCCCAGCUACUCAGGAGGCUGAGGUGGAAGAAUCUCUUGAAUCGGGGAGACAGAGGCUGCAGCGGAGCUGAGAUAGUGCCACUGCAUUCCAGCCUGGGGGACAGAGUGAGACUGUCUCAAAAAAAAAAAAAAAAAAAAAAGAGAGAAAAGAACCCAUUUAAUUCUACCUGUGGGAGGUGGUUCAGGCAUUUGUGGAACUUUGCAAAUUGAAAACAUAGUUUGUGAAUACCUAAGACAGCCCCAUAGGUCAGCAUUCAAAAGGUGCAAUCAGGUGAGCCAGAGUCUUCCCCUCCUAUUCCCUGGCUUCCUGUGCCACCUGGGGCAUUUUUUUUUCUUUUCUUUUUUAUAGACCAGAAGAUGCAGGCUACUGUGGGCACAAUGCCUAUGAAUUAGCCCUGCUCUGCAAGAAGCAGCCAAAAAAAAAAAAAAAAGAUGCAGAGUGGUGGCAUGUGCACGGCUGAAUGCAGUCUGUAGACGCAGUAGCUGUGUGGCCUAUACAGAAUUAAAACAAUUUUUGAGAUAACAUUAAAAAAAUCUGGAAAUUUCACAUCUACAUUUGAAUCUGGAGCUUUCCUUGGAAAAACAGGACACUGGUAGCAGUGGACCACGUUCUGGCACAUUCCCGUUGGCCCUUCAGGUGGGGCAUGGGCUCCCCAGGUCAGCACAGGCCCACCCUCCAGGGUGACCACCCUCCCCUUCCUUCCCUUCCCUGCCAGGGUCUGCAGGCAUUGAGGCAGCAACUCAGCCUGACCUCUGCCUCUCCCAAGCUAAAGGGCAAGGAAGGCUAUGGACUUUGGGGCAUUUAUUUUGAGUCUCUUUCCUAAAUUCGAGGAGACUGGAAAUAAAUCAAGCCUGGCCAGGAGGAGGAGUCCAGCUCUUCCUGUCCCACUGGCCCUUCCCUCUUGGACCUCAUCUUAAGCAGAUGACAAGAUUUUCGACACUGAAAAGUUUAAAUGAUGAAUGGAAGAGCUUUGAAUGGCUCCCACCCCUGCACAGGGAGGUUGCUGAUUCGAGCUUCUGUGUUUGUCAAAUUUGUUCCUCACAACUUUCGGCUCUUUUGCACCUCCCCUCGGCUCCAACAGGCUCAGGACCCUAGUCCCAGAAAUCCUCAUCUCUUCCAGUUUUAGGGCCACACAGGUCUAGCAGAGCCCAUGCCAGGUACAUGGCUACGGCUGUGGGGAAAGCUGUUUUUUGUCGUUGUUUCUUUUUUUAAGUACAGGGUCUCAGGCUGGGUGCAGUGGCUCAUGCCUGUAAUCCCAGCACUUUGGGAGGCCAAGAUGGGUGGAUCGCUUGAGCUCAGGAGUUCAAGACCAGCCUGGGCAACAUGGCAAAAGUCUGUCUCUAGAAAAAAUACAAAAAUUAGCCUGGCGUGGUGGUGUGCACUUGUAGUCCCAGCUACUUGGAAGGCUAAGGUGGGAGGAUGGCUUGAGCCCAGGAGAUGGGGGCUGCAGUGAGCCAAGAUCAUUCCACUGCACUCCAGUCUGGGCAACUGAGUGAGACCCUCUCUCAAAAAGAAAAAAAAGAAGAAAGAAAAAACACAGCGUCUCACUCUGUCACUCAGGCUGGAGUGCAAGUGGCUAUUCACAGGCGCGAUCUCGUUACUGACCUGCAUGAGAAUUUUCACCUGUCCCUUUUCCCACCUGGGCCGGUUCACCCCUCCUUGGGCAACCUGGUGGAGGCCACCAUAUUGAUGCUGAAUUUAGUGCGAACACCUGAUUGGCAUAGUGCACUGCAGCCGGAAUUCCUGGGCUCAGGUGAUCCUCCUGCCUCAGCCUCCCGAGUAGCUGAGACUAUAGGCACGUGCCACUGUGCACAGCAGAAAACUUUUCUAACCCAGGAGUUGGCAAACUAUGGGGCACGUGCUGGAGGACGAUUUUUGGAAAUAAGGUUUUAUUGAAUCACAGCCAGGCUCAUUCAAAUUGUCUGCGGCUGCUUUCACACCAGAGUUGAGUAGUUGCCACCGAGACCAUCUGGCCUACAAAGUAGAACAUAUUUAUUUAUUUAUUUGUGUGGGCUUUUUGUUUGUUUGUUUGGCUUUUUUGAGACAGGGUGUCACUCUGUCACCUAGGCUGGAGUGUAGUGGUGUGAUCACGGCUCACUGCAGCCUCCACCUCCCAGGCCCAAGUGAUCCUCCCACCUCAGCCUCCCAAGUAACUGGGACCACAGGCAUGAGCCACCAGGCUGAGUUCAUUAAAAAAAAUUUUUUUUUGUAGAAAUGGGGUUUCACUAUGUUGUCCAGGCUGGUCUCAAACUCCUGGUCUGAAGCCAUCUUCCCACUUGGCCUCCCAAAGUGUUGGGAUUACAGGCGGGAGCCACUGCUCCUGGCCUAAAAUAUUUACUAUUUGCCCUUUAAGAAAACAUAUGCUGGCCGGGCGCGGUGGCUCAUGCUUGUAAUCCCAGCGCUUUGGGAGGCUGAGGUGGGCAGAUUGUUUGAAGUCAGGGGUUCGAGACCAGCCUGGCCAAUAUGGAGAAACCCUGUCUCUACAGAAAUACAAAAAAAUUAGCUGGGCAUGGUGGUCCAUGCCUGUAAUCCCAGCUACGCUGGAGGCUGAGGCACGAGAAUCUCUCUUUUUUUUUUUUUUUUGAGAUGGACUCUCGCUCUGUCACCCAGGCUGGAGUGCAGUGGCACAAUCUCGGCUCACUGCAAGCUCCGCCGCCUGGGUUCACGCCAUUCUCCUGCCUCAGACUCCAGCUGGGACUGCAGGCGCCCACCACCACGCCCUGCUAAUUUUUUUUAUUAUUUUUAUUUUUAGUAGAGAUGGGGUUUCACCGUGUUAGCCAGGAUGGUCUCAAUCUCCUGACCUUGUGAUCCACCCGCCUCAGCCUCCCAAAGUCCUGGGAUUACAGGCGUGAGCCACCGCCACCACCAUGCCUGGCCGAGAAUCUCUUAAACUCAGGGUGGAGUUUGCAGUAAGCGGAGAUCACGCCACUGCAUUCCAGCCCGGGUGAUAGAGUGAGACUGUCUCAAAAAACAAAACAAAACUUGGCUGGGCUUGGUGGCUCAUGCCUGUGAUCCCAGCACUUUGGGAGGCUGGGGUGGGUGGAUCACCUGAGGUCAGUAGAUCAAGACCAGCCUGGUCCAUGUGGCGAAAUACUGUCUCUACUAAAAAUACAAAAAAUUAGCCGAACGUGGUAGCGGGCACCUGUAGUCCCAGCUACUCGGGAGGCUGAGGCAGGAGAAUCGCUUGAACCCAGGAGGCGGAGGUUGCAGUGAGCUGAGAUUGUGAUUGCACCAUUGCAUUCCAGUUUGAGUGACAGGGCGAGACUCUGUCUCCAAAAAAACAAAACAAAACCAAAACGUAUGCUGAGCCCUGCUUGGAGGGAAAAGAAGUCUGUCUUGUGCCAGGGAGAGCUGGAGUUAAGGCUUAGUGUUGGUGGGAACAGUAUCAGGGACUGUUGGGAAAGAUCAGAGUAACAGCUUAGCAGGGAGAGUAGAACUUGGGGAGGUGUUGGAGGGGGAUGAAGACAGGAAAAGGGCUGGGGCCUGUGGGGAGACUGGGGGCUCAGGGAAGCCAGGCCCAAAAGGUGGACUGAGCUUUCAGCCUUGCAAACUGAUAGCAAACAGUAGGUUAGAGGUCUUCCCAGGAGGCCAGGCCACCCUUGUCCCCACCAUUGGUGGAAAAGCAAGACCACAGUGGUUCCCUGUUCCAGCCGGGAGGCCCCAGAGCUCACUGCCUUUGGCCCUGUGUGCAUUCCUCACUCCAGCACUGGAGCCCGGUUCUGGGGCCAGAUCCUAUUCACAGUGCUCAGAGCACACAAAGAUUCAUGAGCUCGCCUUCUGAUGGGGCAGAGACAAAACACACAACAGCAAACGAUUAGGUCACUGUAAGGAAGAGGAAGAAACUAAAAUCCUGUUAUCCGGGUUGGAAAGCUGUUUCUAGGGGAGGGUGACAUUUGGACAGAGCUCAGGAUGAGAUGAGCUGAGGGAAGGUGCUUCUGAGCAGAGGGAAGAGCAAAUGUAAAGAUGCUGAGGAAGGCCGGGCGCGGUGGCUCACACCUGUAAUCCCAGUAGUUUGGCAAGGUCAGGAGUUCGAGACCAGCCUGGCCAACAUGGUGAAACCUUGUCUCUACUAAGAAUACGAAAAAAAUAGCUGGGGGUGGUGGCAGGCACCUGUAAUCCCAGCUACUCAGGGAGGCUGAGGCAGGAGAAUUGCUUGAACCCCCGAGGCAGAGGUUGCAGUGAGCCGAGAUUGUGCCAUUGCACUCCAGCCUGGGUGACAAGGGCAAAACUUUAUCUCAACAACAACAACAAAAAAGAUGCUGAGGAGGAUGCGGGCUUGAGAGAAGGCCAGGCCAGUGAGGCUGGACAUAUGACCAAGGGGAAGAAUAGAGGGAGAGGGAGGCAGCCACUCCCAGGUGGGCUCUGAAACCGUCUUUGCAAAAUUGUAACUGAGGAAAUUAUGACAGUAAAAGAAAUCAGACCUAAUCAACUCCAUCUUCUUUUUUUUUUUUUGAGAUGGAGUCUAGCUCUGUCGCCCAGGCUGGAGUACAGUGGCGUGAUCUCGGCUCACUCCAACCUCCGCCUCCCGGGUUCAAGCGAUUCUCCUGCCUCAGCCUCCUGGGUAGCUGGGACUACAGGCAUGUGCCACCCCGCCUGGCUAAUUUUUUUGUAUUUUUAGUAGAGAUGGGGUUUCACCGUGUUAGCCAGGAUGGUCUCGAUCUACUGACCUCAUGAUCCAACCACCUCGGCCUCCCAAAGUACUGGGAUUACAGGUGUAAGCCACUACACCCAGCCCCCAUCUUGCUUCUAGCCUUUAAGCAGUCCUUGUGGAUUCCUGGGUGUAGGCCGAACUAACUUUGGGAAGGAAUUCAGUUCAUGGUUUGACUCUGAAACAAAAUUGACAACAGCCCUUUCCCGAAAAGACCCCCUUCUUGCCUGGGGUCCAGUCGGCCUUUGCAGGACUAACAAAUUAGCUAUAAGAUUAGAAAUAAAAGUUUAGGGUCAUGCAGCCUCUGGCUCCAAGAAUCUGAACCUCCCCAAAUUGCUCCUGGGGAUAACAUCACUAUUGGAAAACCGCAGAUCAGUGCGUGAGAUAUUUUGCAGACUCUGCAUUCAUGGAUCAGCUGACACCACCCAGACCGGUUAUCUGGCUCAACCAGUUCUGCCAUCCCACCCAGGAAUAGAAGAUAGCAAGAAAAAUUCACUUCAACCUUCUACGAUUCCAUCUCCAACCUGACCAAUCAGCACUCCCCACUUCCCAAGCUCCUUUACUAGCCAAAUUCUCUUUAAAAACUCUGAUCCCCGAAUGCUUGGGGAGACUGAUUUGAGUAAUAAUAAAACUCUGGUCUCCCGCACAGUGGGCUCUGCGUGAAUCACUCUUUCUCCAUUGCAAUGCCUCUGUCUUGAUAAAUCAGUUCUGUCUGGGCAGCAGGCAAGGUGAACCCAUUGGGCAGUUACAGUUUCAUCCCAUCUCCAGCAAGCAGGCUGCAUUCCUUUUAACAAAGAACAGGCUCCUCACAAACAGCUGAACAGCCCCUCGGGACAGUUUCUCAUCUCUGGAGGCAGAAGGUGGGCCGGACAGCCACUUCCUCCCUUUGGAAUUUGCUAACAGCCCUGUGUUUGGGAGAGACCCUCUCUAGGCAAGCAAGCUAGAGGAGGAGGGGCCUUCCUCUUGUGUUACUGUGAUUUUCGGUUGAGGGAGUGAAUCACAGGCAGUGAGGCAUGGGCUGUUGGCUCAGGAUUUCCUGGUGUUUCCUGCCUGGGAGAGCUGCCCCACUCUCAGGGGCAGCAGCCCACCACUCCUUGACGUCAACUCUCCCUCCAAUGAAUGGGUUUCCUUUUCCGUUUGGGAAGACAUGGGAUCUGCCGUCAAUCCCGUCGACCCUGUCUUUCUAACCCUGGCACCUCCUGUCUGGGAAGGAGCGAGUGCGACUAACGAGAAGGCAGUGGGUGAGGGCAGGAGGGCGAGGGGGACUCAGAGGACAGAUGUCUUCUCGCCCGCAGUCAUUGAGAUGGGCAUCCAGAAACCCCAUCCACAGCAGUAGUGUCUGACCCAGAUUGAGAGCCGGCCACGCAGCUUUGGGACACCCUGAGUGCUCCCAGGCAGGCUCUCUGGGUCACCUUUGUUGUCUGGGAGGGUCUUAUCUCCUCUACUUGUUUUCAGUAACUAGCCCAGAUGAGACCUCCUGACACGAACAAUGCAUGUGCUGUCAUCCUGUAAAUGGAAUCAUUUAAAAAUUGCACAAUCUCUGAAAACCAUUAUUUAACAUUUUUGCAACCUCAAAAUGUAUGUGUCCCCAGCAAAGUCGUGGUUGCCUCACUCUGGUGAUAGCUCUGUCUGUUUUAAACUAGCCAUGAAGGCCAGAGGCUCUCGAUGUGUGGUUUCAGAAGGGACUGGGUCAUUCCUUGAUGUUAUCCUUAGGGUAAAUACUUAUUAGUGUGACUUACCAUGCUAUCAAUAUUGCUGUCUGUUGCUAGCAUUUCUUUAAGGUUGGGAAUUCCCAGUGAGCCUGUACCAUGGCUGUUUGUCUCAGUACCUCGCACAGCAAAGCACCCAUGCAGAAAAGCUGCCAGCUCCUUCUAGGAUGAUAACCAGGCUCCCAUAGCCCAUGUGGCGCUCACCGCUGAGCAUGACGGUGUAGCCAUACAGCAAGUGUUUACUCUGCAACAACCGUGGGCCAGGAACAGUGCAAAAGUGGAACCAUGCAAUGGAUGGCCUCAUUCUAGUUACUGGAAGUUAGGAAAUUUGAUGAUUCACCAUUUCUAACUUGGAAGGGUUGAAUCAAAUUCCAUGUAGUAUUAGUAAAGCUAUCUAAACGCAAAAGAAAACUUUAAGCCAAUCUGAAAUACUUGUUGAUUGUCAACAAUUUGGAAACUCCUUAAUGGCACCAAAUAACCAACAUUAACAUUUGGGGGUAUUUACUUUCAGUCUUUCUGUGUACAUACACGCAUUUCCUCUUUCUUCCUCUCCUUUAAUGAAAUGAGAUGGUCUCUACGCUACUCCUUGGUAAUUUGGCUUUUACACUUAAUGUCAUUAAAUAUUCUUCCAGAACAUGUUAUUUUUAUGAUUGUGUGGUCUUCCAACAUACCGAUGUAUCAUUAUUUAACCAACCCCCCUACCCUGAAGAUUUGCUUCCACACUUCCGAUAUCAUGAACAAGGCUGAGAUGAACAUUCUUGUGGGAAUGUGUAGUUGAUUUCCCUGCAUAAUCUGUGGAAGUGGACUUUGGAGUGUUUUUUUCAGUGUGUCCAUAUCUUUUUUUUUUGAGACUGAGUUUCGCUCUUGUUGCCCAGGCUGGAGUGCAAUGGCGCGAUCUCGACUCACUGCAACCUCCGCCUCCCGGGUUCAAGCGAUUCUCCUGCCUCAGCCUUCCUGAG